CCUUCGCCCUAGUCUACGCAUCCAAGCCCCAGGACUCUCUCCUCUCUCUCUUUCGAAUUUUUCUCUCCGUCUUGCUAGGCAACCGACCGUCGGCGGCCUCGCUCGGGUCGCAGUGUUGCCCUCCUAAUUUGCUUGCCCAGCCAUGUCUCUGCUUGCUGGUGCCCCCAUCCCGCUCAGGGAGCAACCCUGAUGAUCUCCCUGUCCCCUUUCCCUCAGAUCUGGACAGGGCCCCAGUUCUUUCACGGAUUUGGAGGGGUAUAUGAGUCGAGUGGCAGGAUCGGAGACAAGGCCAAAGAGAGGUUCUGGUCAGCCUAGGCGGAAGCUUCGACAAUGGAAGGCCGAUUUUGGUGUUGGGGUAUUCCCUAUAUCUGUCUCCCUGAUGUUGUGAUGGCGGCGCAAGUCUGGUCAUUGGGGAGGAGAGGCUAGGAUGUCACAGAUGGAUGGAAGAGGCGACAGAAAUAGAUUCGUGCUGACUGGAAUUUGAUAGAUUUUUCCAAUCAUUUCUGGAUCAUCAAACUUGCACAAGUACAGCAUGGGAUCCAAAGAAAGAAUGAUACAUGGGCUAACUUAUGUGAACCAGAGGAUUGAUUGAUUUGGCCAUCAGGGCUUGGAUUUCUUCCUACAGGUUUUGUGAACUCCGUUGUGACUUGCAAGACACCACUCGCAAGCAUGUAUUAGUUGUGACUUGGAAGCAUGUAUGUGAGGGUCUUCUUUCUGGUUCAGUUUUUUUACUCGGUCUGUAAGGAUUUCAUUUGGUUCCUUAAUCCCUUCAUCUAGGUUUCGUGAACUCCGUCUGAAAAGGGAGUUCAAGUACAAUUUCAAUUCAGGCAUAGCCGAUACAAAUUUCUUC